rnacentral:rRNA from 1 species
GACGAACGCUGGCGGCGUGCUUAACACAUGCAAGUCGAACGGAAAGGCCCUGCUUGCAGGGUGCUCGAGUGGCGAACGGGUGAGUAACACGUGGGUGAUCUGCCCCUUACUUUGGGAUAAGCCUGGGAAACUGGGUCUAUUACUGGAUAGGACCAUGCUGUAGGUGGUGUGGUGGAAAGAUUAGUUUCGGUCAGGGAUGAGCUCGCGGCCUAUCAGCUUGUUGGCGGGGUAAUGGCCUACCAAGGCGUCGACGGGUAGCCGGCCUGAGAGGGUGGACGGCCACAUUGGGACUGGGAUACGGCCCAGACUCCUACGGGAGGCAGCAGUGGGGAAUAUUGCACAAUGGGCGCAAGCCUGAUGCAGCGACGCCGCGUGGGGGAUGACGGCCUUCGGGUUGUAAACUCCUUUCAGCCAUGACGAAGCCCUUGUGGUGACGGUAGUGGUAGAAGAAGCACCGGCUAACUACGUG